CCUCCCCCAAGGUCAAAGAGAGUUCAAAAUGCACCUCUAAGGUAUGGGUUUGUUAUUAAGAAUGACAAUGAGUCAGAAAUUAUUGAGAAUAAUAAUCCUAUGAUCUAUUCGAAAGUAGUUAUAAGCAGUGACUCUGAUAAAUGACUUAAAGUCAUAAAAUCCAAAAUGGUCUCCAUAUAUGGAUUUUGGUUGAUGCAUCU
rnacentral:lncRNA from 1 species